rnacentral:rRNA from 1 species
AGAAUCAACGCUGGCGGCGUGCCUAAUACAUGCAAGUCGAACGCGAAAGUCCCGCAAGGGAUGAGUAGAGUGGCAAACGGGUGAGUAACACGUGGGUGACCUGCCUUCGAGCGGGGGAUAACGUCCCGAAAGGGACGCUAAUACCGCAUGACAUCCUGCCUUUGAAGAGGUGGAGAUCAAAGCUGGGGAUCGCAAGACCUGGCACUUGAAGAGGGGCCCGCGUCUGAUUAGCUAGUUGGUGGGGUAACGGCUCACCGAGGCAACGAUCAGUA